rnacentral:ribozyme from 1 species
UUUUUUUAAUUCCUGAUAACUUGCAGGAAAAAUAAAGGUGUAAAAUUUGUUAUCGGGAGGCGCUGGCUUUAAUUUUUGUUCUACUUUAUAUUCAUUGACAAAUUGUGUGCGCAGGUGAGUAGCCGAGUGAACAAA